GAUGAACGCUGGCGGCGUGCCUAAUACAUGCAAGUCGAGCGAACAGACGAGGAGCUUGCUCCUCUGACGUUAGCGGCGGACGGGUGAGUAACACGUGGAUAACCUACCUAUAAGACUGGGAUAACUUCGGGAAACCGGAGCUAAUACCGGAUAAUAUAUUGAACCGCAUGGUUCAAUAGUGAAAGACGGUAUUGCUGUCACUUAUAGAUGGAUCCGCGCCGCAUUAGCUAGUUGGUAAGGUAACGGCUUACCAAGGCAACGAUGCGUAACCGACCUGAGAGGGUGAUCGGCCACACUGGAACUGAGACACGGUCCAGACUCCUACGGGAGGCAGCAGUAGGGAAUCUUCCGCAAUGGGCGAAAGCUUGACGGAGCAACGCCGCGUGAGUGAUGAAGGUCUUCGGAUCGUAAAACUCUGUUAUUAGGGAAGAACAAAUGUGUAAGUAACUAUGCACGUCUUGACGGUACCUAAUCAGAAAGCCACGGCUAACUACGUG
rnacentral:rRNA from 1 species